CAUAGUGAACAUUACUGUUAGUUCAGUCCGCGUUCUCAUCACACUGUUAACCCGAUACACUCAGAACUCCAUUCCGUGUUUUUACUCGUGCACUAGCACCUGGAAUGAUGGAGACCAGGCAGGCAGCAAUUCAUCCAGUUUAGUUAUGUUUAAUAAUCAAUCAGACCUUUCUCAAACCUCUCCUCAGGCACCUACAGACAUUUUACAAUUUAGUUGUAACCCUGAACUAGCACACCUGAUUAAUCUAGUUACAGGGUAUGAUAACUAGUUGACAAGUUGAAUCAGAUAUCCGACACUGAACAAAAAUAUAAACACAACAUGUAAAGUGUCCCGUGUUUCAUGAGCUGAAAUGAAAAGAUGCUAGAAAUGUUCCAUACGCACAAAAAAAAACGUUAGGUGUCUUCGUGUGCAGGUAUGUCUUUUAUUUUGUCAGAAUUAUGUUCUGUAUAGUUUUACUUGUAUAUGCUGUUGUGCAGCGAGUGUGUGCACGCAGCACCUGUUAAUUCCUUUUGGCGCUCUUUUUUGCCUGACCCUCGGCUAGCAAGGUGCCGGAUAACUGUGACUGCACCAAGGGUAACUCUCAGAUUUGAUGCACAAAUGUGUUUACAUCCCCUGUUAGUGAACAUUUCUCCCUUUGCCAAGAUAAUCCAACCACCUGACAGGUGUGGCAUAUCAAGAAGUUAAUUAAACAGCAUGCUCAUUACACAGGUGCACCUUGUGCUGGGGGGCAAUAAAAGGCCACUUUAAAUGUGCAGUUUUGCCACACAAUGCCACAGAUGUCUCAAGUUUUGAGGGAGCGUACAAUUGGCAUGCUGACUGCAGGAAUGUCCACCAGAGCUGUUGCCAAACAACUACCAUAAGUUGCCUCCAACAUGGUUUUAGGGAAUUUGGCAGUACGCCCAACCGCAGACCACGUGUAACCACGUCUACCCAGGACCUCUACAUCCGGCCUCUUCACCUGCGGGAUCAUCUGAGACCAGCCAACCAGACAGCUGAUGAAACUCAGGAGUAUUUCUGUCUGUAAGAAAGCCCUUUUGUGGAGAAAAACUCAUUCUGAUUGGCUGGCCCCUGUCAAGUCAUGUGAUCUAAUCCAUCGAUUUAGUACCUAAUGAAUUCAUUUCAAAUGACUAAUUUCCUUUUAUUGAACUGUAACUUUGUUACAUUUCUGGGUCACGUUACCGCUGGGCUGACUACAGUACCCUAGUAAGGUGGUGUUGGGCUGGGUUACCGCUGGGCUGACUACAGUACCCUAGUAAGGUGGUGUUGGGCUGGGUUACCCCUGGGCUGACUACAGUACCCUAGUAAGGUGGUGUUGGGCUGGGUUACCGCUGGGCUGACUACAGUACCCUAGUAAGGUGGUGUUGGGCUGGGUCACGUUACCGCUGGGCUGACUACAGUACCCUAGUAAGGUGGUGUUGGGCUGGGUUACCGCUGGGCUGACUACAGUACCCUAGUAAGGUGGUGUUGGGCUGGGUCACCGCUGGGCUGACUACAGUACCCUAGUAAGGUGGUGUUGGGCUGGGUCACGUUACCGCUGGGCUGACUACAGUACCCUAGUAAGGUGGUGUUGGGCUGGGUUACCGCUGGGCUGACUACAGUACCCUAGUAAGGUGGUGUUGGGCUGGGUUACCACUGGGCUGACUACAGUACCCUAGUAAGGUGGUGUUGGGCUGGGUUACUGCUGGGCUGACUACAGUACCCUAGUAAGGUGGUGUUGGGCUGGGUUACCGCUGGGCUGACUACAGUACCCUAGUAAGGUGGUGUUGGGCUGGGUCACGUUACCGCUGGGCUGACUACAGUACCCUAGUAAGGUGGCGUUGGGCUGGGUCACGUUACCGCUGGGCUGACUACAGUACCCUAGUAAGGUGGUGUUGGGCUGGGUCACGUUACCGCUGGGCUGACUACAGUACCCUAGUAAGGUGGUGUUGGGCUGGGUUACCGCUGGGCUGACUACAGUACCCUAGUAAGGUGGCGUUGGGCUGGGUUACCGCUGGGCUGACUACAGUACCCUAGUAAGGUGGUGUUGGGCUGGGUUACCGCUGGGCUGACUACAGUACCCUAGUAAGGUGGUGUUGGGCUGGGUCACCGCUGGGCUGACUACAGUACCCUAGUAAGGUGGUGUUGGGCUGGGUUACCGCUGGGCUGACUACAGUACCCUAGUAAGGUGGUGUUGGGCUGGGUUACCGCUGGGCUGACUACAGUACCCUAGUAAGGUGGUGUUGGGCUGGGUUACCGCUGGGCUGACUACAGUACCCUAGUAAGGUGGUGUUGGGCUGGGUUACCGCUGGGCUGACUACAGUACCCUAGUAAGGUGGUGUUGGGCUGGGUUACCGCUGGGCUGACUACAGUACCCUAGUAAGGUGGUGUUGGGCUGGGUCACCGCUGGGCUGACUACAGUACCCUAGUAAGGUGGUGUUGGGCUGGGUCACGUUACCGCUGGGCUGACUACAGUACCCUAGUAAGGUGGUGUUGGGCUGGGUCACGUUACCGCUGGGCUGACUACAGUACCCUAGUAAGGUGGUGUUGGGCUGGGUUACCGCUGGGCUGACUACAGUACCCUAGUAAGGUGGUGUUGGGCUGGGUCACGUUACCGCUGGGCUGACUACAGUACCCUAGUAAGGUGGUGUUGGGCUGGGUUACCGCUGGGCUGACUACAGUACCCUAGUAAGGUGGUGUUGGGCUGGGUUACCGCUGGGCUGACUACAGUACCCUAGUAAGGUGGUGUUGGGCUGGGUCACGUUACCGCUGGGCUGACUACAGUACCCUAGUAAGGUGGUGUUGGGCUGGGUUACCGCUGGGCUGACUACAGUACCCUAGUAAGGUGGUGUUGGGCUGGGUUACCGCUGGGCUGACUACAGUACCCUAGUAAGGUGGUGUUGGGCUGGGUUACCGCUGGGCUGACUACAGUACCCCAGUAAGGUGGUGUUGGGCUGGGUUACCGCUGGGCUGACUACAGUACCCUAGUAAGGUGGUGUUGGGCUGGGUCACCGCUGGGCUGACUACAGUACCCUAGUAAGGUGGUGUUGGGCUGGGUUACCGCUGGGCUGACUACAGUACCCUAGUAAGGUGGUGUUGGGCUGGGUUACCGCUGGGCUGACUACAGUACCCUAGUAAGGUGGUGU